AGCUGCCGACGACAGACACAG
rnacentral:misc_RNA from 1 species